rnacentral:lncRNA from 1 species
AGAAACAAAAGAGUAUAGGCAACUAUUUGAAGUAGUUUGGCUGUGGAGUGUGUGGAAAAGUCAGUAGUAGCAGGAAUGAGAUUAGCGGUCAAAGGAGGCCUACUUAUUUAUUUUGCAGUACUGGGGAUUGAACCCAGCAGCACUCUACCACUUAGGUACAUCCUUAGUUCUCCCUUUUUGAAAGUAUUUUGAGACAGGUCUCACUAAAUUGCCCAGGCUAGCCUCAAACCUGCCUCAGCCUCCUAAAUAGCUGGUAUUGUACACAUGCACCACCACACCUGGCUAAGAGGCCUUUAAAUAGGGAUUAAUUUUGUGGAUGUGUAAAAUUUAUAGUUAAGUGUCUUUUGGGAGUGAGUGGUUGAAAAUAUAGCAGAGAGAAGGGAUUAUAUUGUAGUGCACAUUUGCUGACAAAGAGAAGGAUCUGUAGCCCAAAGCAAGUGGACGAAUUAGUAUUCAGUAGGAAGCAAGAGCAUCUCUGUUGUACUUAAGGGACCACUGAUAAGGAUGUGUACAUCUGUGGAAUGUCUAUGCUUGAUGUUGGGAAGAUGAGAAGGAACUACCUUCUGAAGCCCCCCUUCAUUUUUUUCUCUGUAAAUGGGAGUGUGGUCGUACACAUGUAGAGAGAAUAAAAAGGAGGAGGGUUUGGAAGUUUGAAGAAAAUGGAGAAGAUUCAAUGAGUUCUAAGAAUGAGGGCAGGUUGUUGGUUGACCAGAGAAAUAUAGGACUGCUGAGUAAUACUGAUGAUUUAUUUCAGGUUGUUGAUGAUAAAUUUACUAUGAACCAAGAUUUAAUUUUUCGAAUUGCUUUUCUAAAUGUUCUAGUGUUUUAUUUAAUCCUCAAAAUAGCUCCAUGAAGUCGG